rnacentral:rRNA from 1 species
AUUGCCUCAGUAACGGCGAGUGAAGCGGCAACAGCUCAAAUUUGAAAUCUGGCCCUUUCAGGGUCCGAGUUGUAAUUUGCAGAGGGUGCUUUGGUGUCGGCCGUGGUCUAAGUUCCUUGGAACAGGACGUCACAGAGGGUGAGAAUCCCGUACGUGGCCGCCGGUCUUCACCGUGUAAAGCCCCUUCGACGAGUCGAGUUGUUUGGGAAUGCAGCUCUAAAUGGGAGAUACAUUUCUUCUAAAGCUAAAUAUUGGCCAGAGACCGAUAGCGCACAAGUAGAGUGAUCGAAAGAUGAAAAGCACUUUGGAAAGAGAGUCAAAAAGCACGUGAAAUUGUUGAAAGGGAAGCGCUUGCAGCCAGACGUGCCCGCAGUUGCUCACCUAGGCUUUUGCCUGGGGCAUUCUUCUGCGGGCAGGCCAGCAUCAGUUCGGACGGUUGGAUAAAGGCCUCUGUCACGUAUCUUCCUUCGGGAUGACCUUAUAGGGGAGGCGCAACACGACCAGUCUGAACUGAGGACCGCGCAUCAGCUAGGAUGCUGGCGUAAUGGCUGUAAGCGGCCCGUCUUGAAACACGGACCAAGGAGUCUAACAUCUAUGCGAGUGUUUGGGUGUAAAGCCCGGACGCGCAAUGAAAGUGAACGGAGGUGGGAACCUUUCGGGGUGCACCAUCGACCGAUCCUGAAGUCUUCGGAUGGAUUUGAGUAAGAGCAUAGCUGUUGGGACCCGAAAGAUGGUGAACUAUGCCUGAAUAGGGUGAAGCCAGGGGAAACCCUGGUGGAGGCUCGCAGCGGUUCUGACGUGCAAAUCGAUCGUCAAAUUUGGGCAUAGGGGCGAAAGACUAAUCGAACCAUCUAGUAGCUG